rnacentral:lncRNA from 1 species
AGUGUUUCUCACACACAAGACAAGCUUUCCAUGAACGAACUCGAAACUCGAAAGUAGUGGUUCCUCACCCAUUCAAAGGCCACCUUUGAAAUUUGAUUUAGCCGUCUUCUUUGCAAGAAUACAAGGCCAUCACAAUUGGAGAGCAUGCUUUUCGUCUUAUAACCCCAGAUGAUUAGAUUUUUAAAAUGUGUCUUCUGUAGAAAACAACAGUGCUGGCCCUGGCCUAAGGCAAGUGAGGCCAAUGCCUUAGACCUCAAAUUGUAAGGGGCCUCAUCUGUUAAGGAAAAAAAAUUGGCACAAGAAAACGAACCGCCUUUCUCCAUAAAUUCUUUUUAUUCCGUUUUAAUCGUCUUCGUCUUCUCCACCCCGAGGCAAAAGGUAGAAUAAAUCCCUAAAAUUAAAACUACCAUCUACCGGUGAGGGGUGACAAGUCCGAUUGCUAAAAUUCGACGACAUCGGCAGAUGGCACAGCAGGUUGGGCUUCUUUUUCACUUUUAUUAUUUGAGUAUUGUAGGUUUCCAGUCUGGUAGUCCCGAUUAGAGAUUCCAACCUUGCUUGCUUUCAAUGCUUUGCCUUUGACUCUUUGAGUAAUGAUUUCUGUCUUUUGAUUUCUCAUUUUUGGUUCAAUAAUUAAACUUUUUAUGUUCUCAUUUUUGGUUCCGUAAUUAAACUUAUUAUGUUCCAUAAUUAAACUGGUUCCAAACUUCAUGGCAUUGAAUAGAUUAAACUUAUUAAAGCUAAUUUCAAGUUUUCGUGAAUCAGUAAAUGGGAUUGGAUGUUUUCUAAUUUGGGUUUGUCAGUAACUUAUUAAUGUUUUAGAAAUGGGAUUCUAAUUUUGGUGAUAUGUUGAUUCUAUUGAUUCACACAGAAAGCAUUUACAAGUGAUUGGGAAAAGCAUUUGAAAAGCUUAUGAGCAAUUUGUGAUUUUGAUUCUUUGCAACAACCAACACGUACUUUCCCUCUCUCUAUAGACACGUGUUUGUGAUUCUAUCUCUAUGUGUGCACUAGAUAAUCUUCAUCAUAUGUAUGUGUGGUUGAAAAUUUUAGUGUUAAUGGUCAUUUUUCAAUAAUGAAUUGAUAGAAUUGCUCUUGAAAAUGAUGUGGUAUUUUGCUUUAAUUUUCUAUUGCAAGUACAAGUGAUUGAAGAGAAGUAAUGGUUAUGAAAGUGAUUAAGUGAAAGUACAUCUUAUUAGUUAUUUAGUUCAUUUUCUUAUCAUCUUAUGUCUUUUUUUCUUUGAAUUUAAUUUGGAUAAAAGUGCUCUAAUAUUGUUCCAUAUUUUUUUGAAUAAAAGUGCUCUAAUUAUGUUCAAUAGCAUCUUACAGCCACAUUGUCUACUUCAAUCACCACCGCGACCACCAAUUUCCAAAUUAUUUCAUUUUGGGACUCAUCAAUCAGGUUUUAUCGCUCUUUACUUGUUAUUAUGCUAUGAGAAAAUUUGAAUCUGAAUGUGCCAAAAGAAAAAGGAAGGAAAAGAUUGAAAAGUUGAUUAAAUCUCAAGAGGGAGCACUUCAUACGUUUUUAGUAGUAGUAAACAAACACACAACGAUGAUGUUGUUACUGAAGAAGUGUUAAAUGAGAAUGACAACAAUAAUAAUACAAUUGAAGAAGGACAUUGUGUGAUGAAUGAAGAGGUAUCUACUGACAAAGAUAAUGAACCAUUUUCUCUUGACCUUGUUGAUCCGGCAAAUUGGGGAAAUAUGAAUAUGAAUUUAAGAGAUUUAAUUGUAAUGAAAGGUCCUAUAAGAGAAAAUGAUAUGAUUUUCCUGAAAGAUUGAGCAAAUUGACACUUCUCAUCCAUACAUUACGUUCGAUGAUUACAUAAUGGAGAGAAGCAUGAUAGAAAAUGGUUGAUAUAUUCAAAAAGUUUAGAUAAAGUAUUUUGCUUUUGUUGUAAGCUAUUUAAGAAUGAUGGGAUCAGAACUCAAUUGGCACAUGAUGGAGUAAAUGAUUGGAAAAAUAUUGGUGAAAAACUUAAAAUGCAUGAAGUAAGUUGUGACCACAUCAAUAACAUGAGCAAAUAGAUAGAAAUGGAAUUAAGAUUUGAAAAGAGUAAAACAAUUGACAAAAGUGUGCAAGAACAAAUCAAUAGAGAUAGAGAACAUUGGCGACAAGUCUUACCGAGAAUAAUAAUUGUGGUGAAAACUCUCGCUCAGAAUAAUUUAGCAUUUCGUGGGGAUAAUGAGAAGAUAUAUCAAGAAAAUAAUAAUAUCUUCUUAAGCAUGAUUCAAAUGAUUGCUGAGUUCGACCCAUAAUGCAAGAGCAUGUUCGUCGAAUAAAAAAUAAAGAGAUUCAUUAUCAUUAUUAAGGACACAAAAUUCAGAAUGAGUUGCUACUUAUGCUAGCGGGCGAGAUAAAAAAUAAAUCAUUGAAAAACUCAAAAUUUCUAAAUACUUUUUUAUGAUACUUGAUUGGACUCCAGAUACAAGUCACGAAGAACAAAUGUCAAUAAUAUUAAGGUGUGUAGAUAUUUGGACAAGUCCAGUGAAUGUUGAAGAAUUCUUUUUAGGGUUUUUAUUAGUGGAUGAUACAUCAAAUAAGGGACUUUUUGAGGAAUUGGUGGAUGCUUUGAAUAAUCUAGAACUUGAUAUUGAUAAUGUAAGGGGUCAAGGCUAUGAUAAUGGUGCUAACAUGAAAGGACAACAUAAAGGAGUUCAAAGUAGACUAUUACACCUAAAUCCUAGAGCAUUCUACAUUCCUUGUGGAUGUCAGUCUUAAUCUUGCACUUUGUGAUAUGGUCACUUGUUCAAAAGCUAAAUCUUUCUUUGGGGUGGUGCAACGUAUAUAUACUUUAUUUUCUUCAUCUACUAAACGAUGGAAAGUUUUCAAAGAGAAUGUAACUGGUCUUACUCUUAAGCCCUUAUCACAAAUUCGUUGGGAAAGCCAUAUUGAAAGUGUUAAAGCGAUAAGAUUUCAAGCUCCACAGAUAAAAAAAGCGUUACUUCAAUUAGCAAAUGUUGAUGAUCCUAAGACAAGAAGUGAGGCGGAGUGUUUGGCAACAUAUGAGAUUGAGAAUUUUGAAUUCUUACUUGGAAUGAUUAUUUGGUAUAAAAUGUUGAAUACUGUUAACAGAGUAAGCAAACAUUUGCAAGUGGAAGACAUGCAUAUUGAUGUUGCUAUAAACCAUUUAAAAGGCCUCAUUUCAUUUUUCAAAAGUUAUAGAGAAUAUGGUUUUGAAUCGGCCAUGGUUGAUGCUAAAGAGAUUGCAAGUGAAUUAGAAAUUGAACCGAUAUUUCGUGAAAAAUGAGUUAUACAUAGAAAAAACAGUUUGAUGAAACUUCUUCUGAAGAGAUAAUACAAACAGCUGAAAAAUCUUUUAAGAUCAAUUAUUUCAUAUAUAUUGUGGAUCAAGCUCUAUCAUCACUUCAGAAUAAAUUUGAACAAUUUCAAAAAUAUGAUGAUAUUUUUGGAUUUUUGUUUGAUUUGAAAAGACUUAAAUCUAUUGAUGAUGAUGUUUUGAAGUGUUCUUGUAUUAAACUUGAAAAUU